CGGGGUUUUAUAGUUCAGUUUAGUGACAUCGAUAUUAAAACUGGCCUGUAAAGUCCCGCU
rnacentral:pre_miRNA from 1 species